GACGAACCGUGCGAACGUUAUUCGGAAUCACUGGGCUUAAAGCGCGUGUAGGCGGGCCGGCACGUCGGUCGCUGAAAUCCCCCGGCUUAACCGGGGAACGGGCGCCGAUACGACCGCCCUGGAGGGACGUAGGGGGGGCUGGAACUUCUGGUGGAGCGGUGAAAUGCGUUGAGAUCGGAAGGAACGCCCGUGGCGAAAGCGAGCCCCUGGGCGUCUACUGACGCUGAGACGCGAAAGCCAGGGGAGCGAACGGG
rnacentral:rRNA from 1 species